GGAUAGCUCAGUUAGUAGAGCAUGAGACUUUUAAUCUCAGGGUUGUGAGUUCGAGCCCCACCUUGAGCA